GGGGCCGACCUGGCUUCGACGUGGGUUCGGAGUGGGAUCAGGGCAUGCCGAGCACCAGUACGCUCGUAAAUCCACUGGAACAAAGUAACUGCGAACGACGAACGUUUCGCCCUCGCCGCUUAACACCGGUGAGCCUUGCAACAGAUCGCCGAUGGUCUGGGCUGGCAACAGCUGCAAGGUCAUGCACAUCGGCUGGGCUUGAGCCGGGUCACUCGGCACAAGUCAAGAUUCAGUGACUGGUUGCCCUCACAGCGUGCCGCUGCGCGGUGAGGGCGACGAGACUCAAAUCAGACGGCUACGCAUGUAGAACUGGCCUGCAAAGGCUUGCGGACGGGGGUUCGAUUCCCCCCGGCUCCACCA
rnacentral:tmRNA from 1 species